UACGUAGGGUGCGAGCGUUGUCCGGAAUUAUUGGGCGUAAAGAGCUCGUAGGCGGCCUGUCGCGUCGGAUGUGAAAGCCCGGGGCUUAACCCCGGGUCUGCAUUCGAUACGGGCAGGCUAGAGUUCGGUAGGGGAGAUCGGAAUUCCUGGUGUAGCGGUGAAAUGCGCAGAUAUCAGGAGGAACACCGGUGGCGAAGGCGGCACGCUGGACCUCUUCUGACGCUGAGGCGCGAAAGCCAGGGGAGCAAACGGG
rnacentral:rRNA from 1 species